GACAGGGGAUGCAAGCGUUAUCCGGAAUGAUUGGGUGUAAAGCGUCUGUAGGUUGCUUUCUAAGUCCAUUGUUAAAUCCCAGGGCUUAACCCUGGACAGGCGAUGGAUACUAUUAAGCUAGAGUACGGUAGGGGCAGGGGGAAUUUCCGGUGGAGCGGUGAAAUGCGUAGAUAUCGGAAAGAACACCAAAAGCGAAGGCACUCUGCUGGGCCGAAACUGACACUGAGAGACGAAAGCUAGGGGAGCGAAUGGG
rnacentral:rRNA from 1 species